UUGCUUGCUUAUUAGCCAUGUUUAUCUUUGAUCCCGUAAUGGCUUUUGGUUCAGUCAUGAACUAAACUCCAUUAUAGGAUUCUAACGGAUUUUAAUAUGUAGUUUGAUUUCAUGCUUGAAUGCUUGAUUGAUUUACAUAUCAUUUCGGAUUUCUAUCAUGAUUAUUUUUCAUGUAUGAAUGCUUGAUCACCAUUCGUUUUAGUACUU
rnacentral:lncRNA from 1 species